rnacentral:rRNA from 1 species
GAAAGGGACGGCUAANUACGUGCCAGCAGCCGCGGUAAUACGUAGNUCCCGAGCGUUGUCCGGAUUUAUUGGGCGUAAAGGGAGCGCNGGCGGUCAGGAAAGUCUGGAGUAAAAGGCUAUGGCUCAACCAUAGUGUGCUCUGGAAACUGUNUGACUUGAGUGCAGAAGGGGAGAGUGGAAUUCCAUGUGUAGCGGUGAAAUGCGUAGAUAUAUGGAGGAACACCAGUGGCGAAAGCGGCUCUCUGGUCUGUCACUGACGCUGAGGCUCGAAAGCGUGGGUAGCGAACAGGAUUAGAUACCCUGGUAGUCCACGCCGUAAACGAUGAGUGCUAGGUGUUAGGCCCUUUCCGGGGCUUAGUGCCGGAGCUAACGCAAUAAGCACUCCGCCUGGGGAGUACGACCGCUAGGUUGAAACUCAAAGGAAUUGACGGGGGCCCGCACAAGCGGUGGAGCAUGUGGUUUAAUUCGAAGCAACACGAAGAACCUUACCAGGUCUUGACAUCCCGAUGCUAUUCUUAGAGAUAGGAAGUUACUUCGGUACAUCGGAGACAGGUGGUGCAUGGUUGUCGUCAGCUCGUGUCGUGAGAUGUUGGGUUAAGUCCCGCAACGAGCGCAACCCUUAUUGUUAGUUGCCAUCAUUAAGUUGGGCACUCUAGCGAGACUGCCGGUAAUAAACCGGAGGAAGGUGGGGAUGACGUCAAAUCAUCAUGCCCCUUAUGACCUGGGCUACACACGUGCUACAAUGGUCGGUACAACGAGUUGCGAGCCGGUGACGGCAAGCUAAUCUCUGAAAGCCGAUCUCAGUUCGGAUUGGAGGCUGCAACUCGCCUCCAUGAAGUCGGAAUCGCUAGUAAUCGCGGAUCAGCACGCCGCGGUGAAUACGUUCCCGGGCCUUGUACACACCGCCCGUCACACCACGAGAGUUUGUAACACCCGAAGUCGGUGAGGUAACCUUUUAGGGGCCAGC